AGGCAGUGUACUGCUAGCUGGCUGUU
rnacentral:miRNA from 1 species